ensembl:ribozyme RNase_MRP RNase MRP
GGGCAUUCAGAAGGCUUGCUCUCUGGGCUACAUGCUGAGGACCUGGUUUCUCCCUUCGCCCAGGGGAAAGUCCCCGGACUCAUGGCAGAAAGUGCCCUGGGUGAAUCCAGCGUCGAUGCGCGCCACACCGUAUUCAAGCUGAGAUGUUCAUGUGAACUGAGCUUGGUGUUCGCUUGUCGACAUUGUCAGCGUUAAUAGUAAUGCAAGUACGCAAAUGCUAACGCCUAAACAGAACGGGGCUCAUUCUCGGAAUGCA